rnacentral:rRNA from 1 species
CCUACGGGUGGUAGCAGUGGGGAAUUUUGGACAAUGGGCGCAAGCCUGAUCCAGCAAUGCCGCGUGCAGGAUGAAGGCCUUCGGGUUGUAAACUGCUUUUGUACGGAACGAAACGGUGAGCUUUAAUACAGUUUGCUAAUGACGGUACCGUAAGAAUAAGCACCGGCUAACUACGUGCCAGCAGCCGCGGUAAUACGUAGGGUGCGAGCGUUAAUCGGAAUUACUGGGCGGAAUGCGUGCGCAGGAGGUGAAAUCCCCGGGCUCAACCUGGGACCUGCAUUUGUGACUGUAUAGCUAGAGUACGGUAGAGGGGGAUGGAAUUCCGCGUGUAGCAGUGAAAUGCGUAGAUAUGCGGAGGAACACCGAUGGCGAAGGCAAUCCCCUGGACCUGUACUGACGCUCAUGCACGAAAGCGUGGGGAGCAAACAGGAUUAGAUACCCGUGUAGUC